CCAAACCAACAAGCUUGCUUGUUGGGGUUGUAGGACACUCUAUACGGAGUUACAAAGGACGACAUUAGACGAAUCAUCUGGAAAGAUGAAUCAAAGAAGGUAAUAAUCCUGUAGUCGAAAAUGUUGUCUCUCUUGAGUGGAUCCUGAGUACGACGGAGCACGUGAAAUUCCGUCGGAAUCUGGGAGGACCAUCUCCUAAGGCUAAAUACUCUCUAGUGACCGAUAGUGAACCAGUACCGUGAGGGAAAGGUGAAAAGCACCCCGGAAGGGGAGUGAAAUAGAACCUGAAACCGUGUGCUUACAAGUAGUCAGAGCCCGUUAAUGGGUGAUGGCGUGCCUUUUGUAGAAUGAACCGGCGAGUUACGAUUUGAUGCAAGGUUAAGCAGUAAAUGUGGAGCCGUAGCGAAAGCGAGUCUGAAUAGGGCGUUUAGUAUUUGGUCGUAGACCCGAAACCAGGUGAUCUACCCUUGGUCAGGUUGAAGUUCAGGUAACACUGAAUGGAGGACCGAACCGACUUACGUUGAAAAGUGAGCGGAUGAACUGAGGGUAGCGGAGAAAUUCCAAUCGAACCUGGAGAUAGCUGGUUCUCUCCGAAAUAGCUUUAGGGCUAGCCUCAAGUGAUGAUUAUUGGAGGUAGAGCACUGUUUGGACGAGGGGCCCCUCUCGGGUUACCGAAUUCAGACAAACUCCGAAUGCCAAUUAAUUUAACUUGGGAGUCAGAACAUGGGUGAUAAGGUCCGUGUUCGAAAGGGAAACAGCCCAGACCACCAGCUAAGGUCCCAAAAUAUAUGUUAAGUGGAAAAGGAUGUGGCGUUGCCCAGACAACUAGGAUGUUGGCUUAGAAGCAGCCAUCAUUUAAAGAGUGCGUAAUAGCUCACUAGUCGAGUGACACUGCGCCGAAAAUGUACCGGGGCUAAACAUAUUACCGAAGCUGUGGAUUGUCCUUUGGACAAUGGUAGGAGAGCGUUCUAAGGGCGUUGAAGCAUGAUCGUAAGGACAUGUGGAGCGCUUAGAAGUGAGAAUGCCGGUGUGAGUAGCGAAAGACGGGUGAGAAUCCCGUCCACCGAUUGACUAAGGUUUCCAGAGGAAGGCUCGUCCGCUCUGGGUUAGUCGGGUCCUAAGCUGAGGCCGACAGGCGUAGGCGAUGGAUAACAGGUUGAUAUUCCUGUACCACCUAUAAUCGUUUUAAUCGAUGGGGGGACGCAGUAGGAUAGGCGAAGCGUGCGAUUGGAUUGCACGUCUAAGCAGUAAGGCUGAGUAUUAGGCAAAUCCGGUACUCGUUAAGGCUGAGCUGUGAUGGGGAGAAGACAUUGUGUCUUCGAGUCGUUGAUUUCACACUGCCGAGAAAAGCCUCUAGAUAGAAAAUAGGUGCCCGUACCGCAAACCGACACAGGUAGUCAAGAUGAGAAUUCUAAGGUGAGCGAGCGAACUCUCGUUAAGGAACUCGGCAAAAUGACCCCGUAACUUCGGGAGAAGGGGUGCUCUUUAGGGUUAACGCCCAGAAGAGCCGCAGUGAAUAGGCCCAAGCGACUGUUUAUCAAAAACACAGGUCUCUGCUAAACCGUAAGGUGAUGUAUAGGGGCUGACGCCUGCCCGGUGCUGGAAGGUUAAGAGGAGUGGUUAGCUUCUGCGAAGCUACGAAUCGAAGCCCCAGUAAACGGCGGCCGUAACUAUAACGGUCCUAAGGUAGCGAAAUUCCUUGUCGGGUAAGUUCCGACCCGCACGAAAGGCGUAACGAUUUGGGCACUGUCUCAACGAGAGACUCGGUGAAAUCAUAGUACCUGUGAAGAUGCAGGUUACCCGCGACAGGACGGAAAGACCCCGUGGAGCUUUACUGUAGCCUGAUAUUGAAAUUCGGCACAGCUUGUACAGGAUAGGUAGGAGCCUUUGAAACGUGAGCGCUAGCUUACGUGGAGGCGCUGGUGGGAUACUACCCUAGCUGUGUUGGCUUUCUAACCCGCACCACUUAUCGUGGUGGGAGACAGUGUCAGGCGGGCAGUUUGACUGGGGCGGUCGCCUCCUAAAAGGUAACGGAGGCGCUCAAAGGUUCCCUCAGAAUGGUUGGAAAUCAUUCAUAGAGUGUAAAGGCAUAAGGGAGCUUGACUGCGAGACCUACAAGUCGAGCAGGGUCGAAAGACGGACUUAGUGAUCCGGUGGUUCCGCAUGGAAGGGCCAUCGCUCAACGGAUAAAAGCUACCCCGGGGAUAACAGGCUUAUCUCCCCCAAGAGUUCACAUCGACGGGGAGGUUUGGCACCUCGAUGUCGGCUCAUCGCAUCCUGGGGCUGUAGUCGGUCCCAAGGGUUGGGCUGUUCGCCCAUUAAAGCGGUACGCGAGCUGGGUUCAGAACGUCGUGAGACAGUUCGGUCCCUAUCCGUCGUGGGCGUAGGAAAUUUGAGAGGAGCUGUCCUUAGUACGAGAGGACCGGGAUGGACAUACCUCUGGUGUACCAGUUGUCGUGCCAACGGCAUAGCUGGGUAGCUAUGUGUGGACGGGAUAAGUGCUGAAAGCAUCUAAGCAUGAAGCCCCCCUCAAGAUGAGAUUUCCCAACUUCGGUUAUAAGAUCCCUCAAAGAUGAUGAGGUUAAUAGGUUCGAGGUGGAAGCAUGGUGACAUGUGGAGCUGACGAAUACUAAUCGAUCGAAGACUUAAUC
rnacentral:rRNA from 1 species